CCUUCUCUUGAGAGGCAGGCGGGCCCUAGCUGCAGCGUCAAGGUCUGGGGAUUCUGUGGCUCUGUAGGGUGAAGGGCACUGGAGACCUACCAGGGGCUGGGCCAUUGGAGUGGUGGGUGCUGGGGAGCUUCCGUGGGCCCCUCCAGGUCCACUCCUUGCUCUUCUCUGCCUUGUUUUGUGCCCAGAAGGCUGACCUGUGUGGAUGCAUUAUCAGGGUGGAUGCAACACAGGGCUGCCAUGCUCUCUGGUAUCAGUUUGGAAGGCACUGGCAGGAUGGGAAGGCAGGCGGGGAGUGAGGUCAGGGGGCCUAUCCUUCCACUGCCUCCCUGCUGCUCCCUGACUGAUUCAGAAGGACAGAAUAACGGGCUCCCAGAUUCACAAGCCCCACCAAGAGGAUCACCCCAGGAACGCUUGGAGGCUGAGGAGUUCACUGAGGCUACUGCAUCUUGAGACUCAGGAUGAAGACCCAGCUUGGGGCUGUCAAAGGUGCGACCUGCCAGCUGAGACCUCCAGGGGUCGAGCCCAGGCCCCUUUGCCUUGUUCAUGGCUUAGGCCAGUGCUUAGCAUAUAGUAAACAACUUGUAAAUGUU
ensembl:lncRNA PVT1 Pvt1 oncogene